AUUGAAACCCCUGUUCCCAUAUGAUCACUGAAGUUAAGCAAUGUUAAGCCUGGUCAGUACCGAGAUUAGUGACCGCUUGGAAAUACCAGGUGCUA